CACGCUGUAAACGAUGAUUACUAGGUGUGGGGGGACUGACCCCUUCCGUGCCGCAGUUAACACAAUAAGUAAUCCACCUGGGGAGUACGGCCGCAAGGUUGAAACUCAAAGGAAUUGACGGGGGCCCGCACAAGCAGUGGAGUAUGUGGUUUAAUUCGAAGCAACGCGAAGAACCUUACCAGGUCUUGACAUCCUAGGAAUCCUGUAGAGAUACGGGAGUGCCCUUCGGGGAAUCUAGAGACAGGUGG
rnacentral:rRNA from 1 species